GAGCCUUUUGGAAGAGCUAGAGACAUAUUCUAGGAAUGUAGAACAUGUAUUAAGUGCAUGUACUUAGGGACUUGUAUAGCAGUAUUUAUUUACUCUUAGUAGGAGAGUCAUUGUAUUUGUAAAUCAUCCAUCAACUGAAUAAUAAAAUACAAGUCCUCUCUUCCAAAGUUCUGUCUUUGUCUUUAUUCUUAUUCUCAUAGCGUUUCGAGUAGAGAAGCUGACUUGAGCUUACGAGAUCGUGAAAGAAUUGUGAGUAAAUUUUCAAGUGCCGCACGGAGUUUUGUCAGAUUCUCUAGGUCCGUGACACUACGCUCUGUAUACAUUAGCAUGGGAUAACAUUAUAGGAUUUCGGUCUUAUUACGUUGGCCUUUGGGAUCAGAGUAAUGAUUAAUAGGGACAGUCGGGGGCAUUCGUAUUUCAUAGUCAUAGGUGAAAUUCUGAUUUAUGAAAGACGAACAACUGCGAAAGCAUUUGCCUAGGAUGGUUUCAUUAAUCAAGAAUGAAAGUUGGGGGCUCGAAGACUAUAAGAUACCGUCCUAGUCUCAACCAUAAACGAUGCCGACCAGGGAUCGGCGGAUGUUGCUUUUAGGACUUCGUCGGCACCUUAUGAGAAAUCAAAGUUUUUGGGUUCCAGGGGGAGUAUGGUCGCAAGGCUGAAACUUAAAGAAAUUGACGGAAAGGGCACCACCAGGAGUGGAGCCUGUAGCCUAAUUUGACUCAACACGGGGAAACUUACCAGGUCCACACAUAGUAAGGAUUGACAGAAUGAGAGCUCUUUCUUGAUUCUAUGGGUGGUGGYGCAUGGCCGUUCUUAGUUGGUGAAGAGAUUUGUCCGGUUAAUUUCGUUAACGAACGAGACCUCAGCCUGCUAACUUUCUAUGCGGAGGUAUCCCUUCGCGGCCAGCUUCUUAGAGGGACUACAACCUCUUAGGCCGCGGAAGUUUUAGGCAAUAACAGGUCUGUGAUGCUCUUAGAUGUUCUGGGUCACACGCGCGCUACACUGAUGUAUUCAACGAGCUUAUAGACUUGGCCGACAGGCCCUGAAAAUCUUUGAAAUUUCAUCGUGAUGGGGAUAUAUAAUUGCAAUUGUUGGUUUUCAACGAGGAAUUUCUAGUAAGCGCGAGUCAUCAGCUCGCGUUGACUAUGUCCCUGCCCUUUGUACACACCGCCCGUCGCUCCUACCGAUUGAAUGAUCCAGUGAAAUGUUCGAAUCACGGCGACGUGGGCAGUUCACUGCCCGCGACGUCGCGAGAAGUCCAUUGAACCUUAUCAUUUAGAGGAAGGAGAAGUCGUAACAAGGUUUCCAAAGGUGAACCUACGGAAG
rnacentral:rRNA from 1 species